AUAUUUCUAGCAUUACUGUGAACUAUUCAAUGUCUGAUUAAUAUGAGUAUGAUCUUUCCCAGGUUUACGGGAUCACAGUAAAUCUCAGUGAAAAUGCCUGUACCUGCGAUGAAAGUAGACCCGAAAUCCUUGGGGACUGUGCAGAUAAUGAUCGGGACUGUGAUAUUCAUGUUUGGUAUUGUAACCAAAGAUUUGGUUGAAAUAUCUAUCCACAGCGGCGUCAUGUACUGGGGAUCACUUUGCAUAUGUUCUUUGCCCUGCUUUAAUAUCACCUUAUUUUACAUUGUUGUGUUUAAGAAACACUUGAUAAUCUCCAUUCUGAUUUACCUUUGAUCAGUUUAUCAUCUCUGGUGCUCUAUCAACUGCUAGCGUGGACCACCGUCAUCCUGGUUUGGUGAAAUCCUCGCUGGUUAUGAACAUGAUCAGUGCUGUGGCUGCGAUUGUAGCCAUUGUUGUGUUUGCUGUUGAUCUAGUGCGCAUGUCUACUGAACUACCAUCGUGUAAUGAUCUGAAAAAGCCUGAAUGUGUUGUGAUUAUCCUGUUUGGGGUUGUACGUAGCACCUUUAGAGUGCUCCUGGUUUUCUCUGUACUUGAGAUCUGCAUGUCCAUCUGGACGUUUGUACUGACCUUGAAAGCCAGAGGCUCCACUGAAGCUACAUCAUAGGCAAAGGAUCGUCUGAUCAACAAUCCAUGUGAGGAAACCCACAACUCACCUUAAUGCAUCUUCUGAGCUUAUUCACAUGUUGUGGUGUAUGCUUUAAAAAAAAAUUGCUGAGGUACCUAAUGAAUCCUGAUAUAAUCUUUUUUUCUUAAUGAUUUAGUUGCGGUGAUGUUAUGAUGUCAUUUUCUGCUUUGAGACUGAAUAAUCCAUGUGUAUAACUUACAUAUCGGAUAUUAUUGAAGUUUUUCCUUUUAUUUUUUACUUUUUAAUAAAAUAAACAGAAUAUAAUACACCAAAGGCUGUUGAAUUCUGAUUGGUCAAAGUGUUGAUCAAUUUUCUAUAACUUGCAGUUUGGACA